rnacentral:rRNA from 1 species
UACGUAUGGUGCGAGCGUUGAUCGGAAUUACUGGGCGUAAAGCGUACGCAGGCGGCUGCGCAAGACAGGUGUUAAAUCACCGUGCUUAACCUGGGAACUGCAUUUGUGACUGCGCGGCUAGAGUCCGUAAGAGGGGGGUGGAAUUCCACGUGUAGCAGUGAAAUGCGUAGAGAUGUGGAGGAACACCGAUGGCGAAGGCAGCCCCCUGGGAUGAGACUGACGCUCAUGUAUGAAAGCGUGGGGAGCAAAGAGG